GGAAUCACUGGGCUUAAAGCGUCCGCAGGCGGGCGCGCAGGCAUCUCGUGAAAUCCCACGGCUCAACCGUGGAAUUGCGGGGUGAACCGCGUGCCUUGAGGUAGGUAGGGGUCAUCAGAACGUACGGUGGAGCGGUGAAAUGCAUAGAUAUCGUACGGAAUGCCGAAGGUGUAGACAGGUGACUGGGCCUAUCCUGACGCUCAGGGACGAAAGCGUGGGGAUCAAACAGGAUUAGAUACCCUGGUAGUCCACGCCGUAAACGAUGCGCACUAGGUCGGUGGUCCUUCGACGGAUUGCCGGCCGGAGAGAAAUUAUUAAGUGCGCCGCCUGGGGAGUACGGUCGCAAGGCUAAAACUCAAAGGAAUUGACGGGGGCUCACACAAGCGGUGGAGCAUGUUGCUUAAUUCGAAGCAACGCGAAGAACCUUACCUGGGCUUGACAUGUACGGAUUAGCUCUUGGAAACAUGAGUGACGCCCUCGGGUGGAACGUACACAGGUGCUGCAUGGCUGUCGUCAGCUCGUGCUGUGAAGUGUUGGGUUAAGUCCUUUAACGAGCGCAACCCUUGUCGCUAGUUGCCAGCGCGUUAUGGCGGGGACUCUAGCGAGACUGCCGGUGUCAAACCGGAGGAAGGUGGGGAUGACGUCAAGUCCUCAUGGCCCUUACGCCCAGGGAUGCAAACGUGCUACAAUGGUCGAUACAGAGCGAUGCGAGACCGCGAGGUGGAGCAAAUCGCAAAAAGUCGGCCCCAGUUCGGAUUGCAGUCUGCAACUCGACUGCAUGAAGCCGGAA
rnacentral:rRNA from 1 species